rnacentral:rRNA from 1 species
CCUACGGGCGGCAGCAGUGAGGAAUAUUGGUCAAUGGGCGCGAGCCUGAACCAGCCAAGUCGCGUGAGGGAAGACGGUCCUAUGGAUUGUAAACCUCUUUUGUCGGGGAGCAAAAGAUGCCACGCGUGGCGUUCCGAGAGUACCCGAAGAAAAAGCAUCGGCUAACUCCGUGCCAGCAGCCGCGGUAAUACGGAGGAUGCGAGCGUUAUCCGGAUUUAUUGGGUUUAAAGGGUGCGCAGGCGGAAGAUUAAGUCAGCGGUAAAAUUGAGAGGCUCAACCUCUUCGAGCCGUUGAAACUGGGUGUCUUGAGUGAGUGAGAAGUAUGCGGAAUGCGUGGUGUAGCGGUGAAAUGCAUAGAUAUCACGCAGAACUCCGAUUGCGAAGGCAGCAUACCGGCGCUCAACUGACGCUGAUGCACGAAAGUGUGGGUAUCGAACAGGAUUAGAUACCCCAGUAGUC